rnacentral:rRNA from 1 species
UGCGUAGGCGGCAUGUCAAGCCAGAGGUGAAAGGCAUUGGCUCAACCAAUGUAAGCCUUUGGAACUGACGUGCUUGAGUACAGGAGAGGUAAGUGGAAUUCCUAGUGUAGAGGUGAAAUUCGUAGAUAUUAGAAGGAACACCAGUGGCGAAGGCGACUUACUGGACUGUAACUGACGCUGAGGCACGAAAGCGUGGUAGCGAACA